AUUGAACGCUGGCGGCAGGCCUAACACAUGCAAGUCGAGCGCGAGGCGGACAGGUGUGUAAUGUAUGGGGAAUGUCCGAUAGAGGGGGAUAACUACUGGAAACGGUAGCUAAUACAGCACACUAUCGGAUAAUCCACAGGGGAUUAGCUAGUGGGUGAGGGAAUGGCUCACCUAGGCGACGAUCCCUAGCUGGUCUGAGAGGAUGAUCAGCCACACUGGGACUGAGACACGGCCCAGACUCCUACGGAGGCAGCAGUGGGGAAUAUUGCACAAUGGGCGCAAGCCUGAUGCAGCCAUGCCGCGUGUAUGAAGAAGGCCCUAGGGUUGUAAAGUACUUUCAGUCGGGAGGCGUUACCGACAGAAGAAGCACCGGCUAACUCCGUGCCAGCAGCCGCGGUAAUUC
rnacentral:rRNA from 1 species